rnacentral:rRNA from 1 species
UACGGGGGGGGUAAGCGUUGUUCGGAAUUACUGGGCGUAAAGGGCUCGUAGGCGGCCAACUAAGUCAGACGUGAAAUCCCUCAGCUUAACUGGGGAACUGCGUCGGAUACUGGAUGGCUUGAAUUCGGGAGAGGGAUGCAGAAUUCCAGGUGUAGCGGUGAAAUGCGUAGAUAUCUGGAGGAAUACCGGUGGCGAAGGCGGCAUCCUGGACCGACAUUGACGCUGAGGAGCGAAAGCUAGGGGAGCAAACGGG